rnacentral:rRNA from 1 species
GACGAACCGUGCGAACGUUGUUCGGAAUCACUGGGCUUAAAGGGCGCGUAGGCGGCCGUUCAAGUCCGGGGUGAAAUCCUCCAGCUCAACUGGAGAAGUGCCUUGGAUACUGGAUUGCUCGAGGGAGGUAGGGGUCGAGGGAACUUCUGGUGGAGCGGUGAAAUGCGUUGAUAUCAGAAGGAACGCCGGUGGCGAAAGCGCUCGACUGGACCUCUUCUGACGCUGAGGCGCGAAAGCUAGGGGAGCAAACGGG